CUCUCUCUCUCUCUCUCUCUCUCUCUCUCUCUCUCUCUCUCUCUAUAUAUUUAUAUAUAUUGGUGAAACUUUGUGUGGUUGUGAGGUUGAUGCAUGUCAACCUGGAGAGGAUGUAUGUUCAUCCUCCUUCAGGCUGUGCUGUGCAGCCUGUGGUCAUGGCUGCUAAUUCUCUACAUCAAUAAAAAUAAUGAUACAUCUAUUUUAUUGGCACAGAUACAUGAUUCUGAUUUCAUUUGCUGCUGGAUAUCACACAGUUGCUUUUUAGACAGUGAGAUGACUUGUUGUAGAAAAGUGCAGAUCUCCACUGAAGGAAGGCUUACAUGGGAGACAGCUCUCAUCCAACUCCAAAUGUCUUAUGAGACAAGAAGGAAUCCAAACAAUGCACAUUCAUAUGUGCUCACUAUCCAAGAGUCAACAGUUGCAGUAUGAGCAGUGCCCACUCUUUUUGGCCACCAUGGUGACAUGACAUGACUGAAUAAUUUGCUGCACUAGACAAGCUGGGUCAAGUGACAGCAACCUCUCAAUCCAUCCAUGCAAACAUGGAUUCCUGUUGUCCUCAUUGUUUGAACGCAAACUGAGUUUAAUGAUCUUAGACAGGAUUUAGCACGGCAUCGGGCAGUAGAUUCUGCACUCGCGCACGCGCACACACAAGCGCCGCUCACGUGCCAAACAAACGGACAUUUCCACGAGCACUUUAAUGGCAGAGAGACAGCAGCUUUAGUCUCUUUUGUGCUGUUGCCUGCUUUGGCCUUGACCGAAGUGACUCGUCUUCCGUGAGUAGGAUACAUCACAGUAAAGAGAGAGAGAGAGAGAGAGAGAGAGAGAGAGAGAGAGAGAGAGGGAGAGUAAUGGAAUGAUGGAACGGACGUGGACAUGGCACCAGAUCGGGUUGGAACACAUCCGGCCAACGCAGCUCAAUGAGUGAGGGGUACGGAGCAACAGCAACUCAUCUUGUUUCCCGCCCUGCUGCUGCUGCUGCUGCUAACGAACUCAUGACCAUGGCCAAAAGGAGAUCACAAGUUUCUUCUCUUAACAUCCUCUCUGGAUCAAGCAAUAUCAGACUCCUGUUCUUCGUAUGCUGAGAGAAGGAAGAAAGAAGCUUGGUGAUGUUGCUUCUGCUCAUGGAAGACUACUGUGCAUGUCUCAACCAACUGCAGAAAUCAUAGAACAGCAGCAGUUAAUCCUUGAAAAGCUAAAAUAAACCGAAAAGUUUCGCUCAAUCCAGCAUCAAGAAUGCACAAAACAAAAAUUAAUUCUGUCUCUUGAAGAUUUCUUCUGAGAUCAGAUUCAUGUGCAGAGGCACACUUGUCAUCUACUUUUAUAUUAACUCUUAGCUAAACUUCAUUCCUCUCAAUCCAGACUUCAUUGAUACAACACUCAGACACAUGAGCUGAACUUUAAGAGUAUUAUUAGUGUCAUCUUAUUCUAGCUUUCUUCUUGUUCUUCUCUCAGAAUCUUACACCAAUCAAGGAGGAUAUAUGAUGGGCACUUCUUAACAUUCUCUUAACUUCAUGGAGCAAGAAAGUUUGUUGUCUUGCCAAUCAAAUGCCAUAAGCAACAACCAAUUACAGACAAGGAAAUAACACAUUCAAGAUCAAAGCUUAAGCUUUCAACUUCCUCUCUCAUCUUCAAAUAUUCUACAUCAACUGCUGAACUAGCAUUUUCAGAGAAAUUUUAUUAAGUUACAAACAAGUAUAAGCUGCAAUUAAGUUGCUAAAGUCGAUGAUACAACCGAUAUCGAAAAAGAAAUAUAUUUUAUUUUUCAAUGAGAAAAACUGUAAAUUACUUAAAUAAGUCUGAUGCAAAUAAUCAUUCCAACAAGAAUGGUUCAUGUCGGAUGUAGCAAGGUUUGCCUGCCGAUCCGCAUCCGUAUUUCCAUCAUGAUAAACAUGUUUGAAAGUAUACGAUGCGAAAGAAUGAUUGAAACAGACACAAAAUGUUGAAAAAGAAAUGUUUUUUGAUUUCAGGGUGUUGUAUAUGCAUUUGCAAUGAUGUGAGCUGUUCAAUGGUGAUCUUCUCAUGUUGUCAAAGGAAAUAAAAAGGAAGUUUCUGUGGUACUAAGUGCUGCAUGCAUGUGCUGCAGUCUUAAACUUGCACACACACACACACAUAGAACUGUGCCAACAGAAAGAAGCAUCCAAUAUAAGUGCUUUUCUAUUCUCCUCUUUAUCUGGCUCAAGUGCAGAAGCAGAGGCUGCUUUCUUAUCAUCCACUAUUCCCAGCACUCACUCUCCUUUUCCUCUCCAAGUGAGGAAUCCUAUGAAUAAGCCCAAAAGCCUAUUACUCUUUACCUCCCACACAAAGGAAAAAAGAGUGCUGGGAGCUAAGUCUCAUGUCUUUACCACAUUUUCUUUCUUAAAAGGAUGCUUAGCAAAGGUGGCCAUGGGCUGAUAAAGAGAGAGUUCCAGCUUUUGGCCCUGGCUCUUUUGGUUUCAAGAGCUAUGUAGCUCAUGGUGUCCCUGUAGGACACUGGAUGCAUGAUGAUGGAGUCAAAAGUUAGCAUCAUCACAGAAUAUUUGGGCAUGCUGGUGUUCUUUUUAGCAUAUUGGAAGCAGGACCACUUGCAUGCCUGGGAGAGGCUUGGUGUCUCUGCCUUGGGGCACUGUUCACCAUAUAGGAAUGUGCCCCAUCAUUCACUGACCACCCAAUCUUCCUUCCCCUACUAACAAACUCAAAAGAGCCUGUCCAAUAUCCAUCUCCUAUAUCAGGAAGAAGCUGGUUGUCUUAAAUGGAAAACAAAUUCUGACUAACUAAAGUAUUUCUUUUCUUUUCUUUUUUUUUUUUGCAAGAGAAGAAGGAUCUAAUGGCACAUUGAUCCAUUUUUGUUAACAUCUAAAAAAUUGGCACACAUCUACAUGUACUAUGAAUGCUUAUGGGGACCGAAAUGAGCUGUAAAGACAUCUUGUUAUCCAGAAAUCUUUGCUCUAAAAUUCUUCUACCUACUUGUCCAUUAAAUGGAUUGAGCUAAAGGUCCUCUGUUCAAUCAUCAGAAGCCACCAUCUAGUUGUGAAACCCAUGAUCUCCCCUUUUAUUCUGCUUUUCCUCCUUUGGGUUCCUGCCAUCAUGAUAUGCAAAUGCAAAAGAGACUUUGAUGGCUGUGGGGAAGAGAAAGGCCAGUAAAAGUGGUCAUGAUACCUAUAACCCCAUGGUUGGAGAGGAAAAGCACCUCAAACCAUUCCUCUGGAAUUGGGAAUUGAGAGUUCCAUCAGAGGAUGAACCUUUAGGCUAUCUUUUUAUUAGCUUAAGAAUAUAUUCUAGAACUAAAUAUUAAUUGGUCCAUGAGCAACUUUGUUGACAAGGAGAGAACUAACUCAUAGUAACAUAACACACUUAACUGUAUGUUAAAAGUCAACAACUAGCUGAAACAGAGAUUGGAAUUCAUAACAAUGCACUUUGUCAAUGACAGAGAACAUGAUAUAACUAUUUCAUCAAGAAACACAUAAUUUGGCCUAAACUUGGGCUGAUAUUUUGCCAAAUCUAAGAACAAAACCCACAUGGUAGAUUUAGCAGGCAUAAAUAGAGAUUUAAUGCAUUUACACCAACAAAUAUCCAAUCAAAUAUUGCCUUCAAUUCAGAGACUUGUUAUGGUUCAGCUAGAUCAAUAAUUUAAACUGAACUCCAUAUGAUAACAUAGUAUGUUAACACAGCCUAUUACUGGUUUCUUUGAACACAAUAAAUAUAACAGCAUGCAAGAACCAAACAUAAUGAUAUCUUAUUGACUGGUAUACAUGCUAAUUACCAGAAUUAUAUAGUACUGUACCACUCAAAUAACAAAGAGGGAAGCAUUUCUCUGAUUCUUAUGUGUCAUGAGAGUUUAGUUCGAUAGAGUUUACUGGAGAAAUAAAAAAGAAAAGUCAGAUAUCUGACAGGUCUAAACUAAGUUAGAUCUGCCUUACAGCAUGUAAGUGUGGAAAAAUAUUUUCCAUAGAAAAAUAUUUUCUUCCUGCCUGUUUAAAGUAUGUUUCUAAUAUCUUUUAUACACUGAGGAACAAGAAUUCUGCUUCUACUCGGGUAUCGGGUUUCUAAUAUCUGGUACUAGAAAAUAUCAAUCAAACUAUUUCCAAUGCCCCAAAAUGCCAUUUCAUGUAUGUAUCCAAUAUUUUCACCAUUGCAAGUGAAACUGAGACUUGUAUCAGAAUACCUUAAUCCACAAAAGACUUUUUAUUUAUACUUUUCUUUGUUUUAGCAAACUCAUAACAGCUAAAGAAAAAAGUUCUAAUUUUAAGCACAUCACCCAAAAGGAAGAGAACAGGAAUAUGAAUUGUAGGGCAUGCAACAAAUACCGAUAGAAGAGGAAUUACCUUUCUAAUUCACUCAUAAAUUCAAUCUUGUAUAUGAAUGAAACAUCUUAGUCUGUAAAACUGGAUUUUUCUCUGAUACUAAAAGAUUAUGAGAAAUUCUGAAUAAUUGGCAAGAAUUUAUUAAGAUAAGCAAUAAGGAGGAGAUUUCCUCACAUUGGCAUUGAUCUUGAAUGACUGAAAGUUGUCUUAUAGAUGAUCCCUCAUAUCUUAUAGUAUUUUGUCAUAGCACAGGUACACCCAAGAAUAAUUUCCUGAAGCCUGCAACAUAUGACUGCACAUUGAUUACACCAUUACACCUAAAAAGGAGGAAAACAGUUGAAGAUGUCCAGGACCAAAAUCUGUGCUUGUUGCAGCUACCAACACACCAAUCUUGUUCAACAUUAUGAAGUGAACCAGAUAAACCCCCGCAUAGAGAAUCCUGCAAUGAACUUAGAGCACAAAAGCUCUUAGGAUUGCAUAAUGGAGAACAGAAGGCACCAGCAGCAUAUUUUCACAAACAGAAACACAACUUAAUUAGCUGAGAAACCAGAUUAACUGGAGCAUCAAGAAGAAUUACUAGUGGUUUAUGUACCUCAACACAUACAAGGAAAAUGAAUCUGAUGCAAGAGUGGAUGCAAAAACAGCCCCAAAUUUUCCUAGAUUGGCACAAGCGAAAAUUAUCAGUCCACUCAACUUGGUUAAUUGAGCCAUAUGAAGGUGUAAAUGAAUUUUCAGUUUGUCUAAUGUUUUGUGUAACUUGUCUCAUAAUCAAAUUGGUGCCUAUGAUUCAUGAACACAGACAAAUAAACAAAGAAAUACCAUGAUGUGGUAGACCAUACAGAUCAGUAAUUUUGUUUUAGUCCAACCCAUUGUUAUGAAGUGCACACCCCAUGGACCUCCUCUCACAAAUUAUCAAACAGAGAGUCUGACUCCAGGAAGGAAUCACUACUCUGGAAGAGGAAGGAGUCCAUGACUCCUUGUUGCUGUGGGAUGGGUUAGAUGACCCUAUUUCCAAACAGUAACAGGCUAAUUAGCCUGCUCAUUUGUUUGACAACCCUUCUGUUUUGUUCUUUUUAUAUUCUUUUGACAGAGUUAUAUUUGAGCACUAUUAGCCUACAUAAGCAUAAAGUUAUACACUUAAGGUAUAAGAUGUGGCCUCUAUUCAAUAUAAUGCACUAGCUUCUCAUCAUCUUUCUUCUUCUCUUUCUCUCUUCCCCAUAUUUACAUCUAAUUUAUAGUGAAGAGUGCUGAGAGUGAUCUGAAUUGAGGAAGAAACACUCUCAGCACCUCUUGGAGAUCAAAGUGGAGUUUUAACCAGGUAACAUUCAUCUACAGAAGCUCAAACACAAAUGAUCACAUACCGUUCAGGUUACAGCAGACCUUCCUGAGUCGCAUCUUGGUAGAAUUUACCGAGAAUGAAAAGAUCACCAUAAAGGGAAUAUAGUCAUUGUUUCUUUAUUCUUUGUGUAGUGUAUAUAUACAUAUAUACAUUUGUCUUAGAGUUGGUAGUGAUUCUCUUUUGAGACAAAGAUAAGCUUACUUUAGAGGAAGAAAUGAGCAUUAAGAGACUCUUAGUUGGUACACCUGACUGAUGUUUUUUGUAAUAGCAGAUUGGAAAUCUGUGAUCAAUGCCAUGUCCAUAUCAACAGUGUUCAACUUCAACAAUGGUGGCUCUUGCCAGUUUUAUGAAUGAAAGCAGCAAGUUCGAAGCUUGAAAGGCACAUCAACCAAUCACCACCCUAGUUUUUGCUUCUCUUAUUCACCAGAAAGAUUCACUCCCCAAAUUUGCAUAGCUUUUAGGUCCAUUUAGAUUCCAAAUGAAGCCUCCUCCCAACCAGCACACCAACCUUGAGAUUUAAACGGGCAUCAGGUAUGUUUUCCACUUAACAGCUGAGCUAACAAUGCAAGAUUAAAGGUGAUGAAACCACUCAAAAUGAGAGAGGUUGUGCCAGCCAACCCUUCUUAUACCCUCACAUUGCUUGGCUCUCAUGCCAUGUUCAACAAGAUGGUUCCUGCUCUCUCUCCCUCCAUACCAAAGCUCCACUACAGCUUGGAGUGGAAUGUGAUCCAGAAGAAGGUUGGCCCUCUGCUGUGGCUGCUGGUCAUCUCCACCAUCUUUAUCCUCUUCAUCAUGCACUCCUCUUAUACUCUCAGCAUCAGUGCCAAAGGUGGCCUCAGCCAAAGCCCUCUCAUGUCUGCUGAUAACAGCAACGUGAUACAACUGGUGCAGAGCCCCCCUGAUUCAGAGCUCCUUUCUCCGAACCUCUCCGCACCACAGCCUGCUACUGCUGCUACCAUUAGCAGGGUGACACCAGUUGUGGAAGGUCUCCAUCCGAAUACCAGUGGUAACUGCAGUGCACUACAUUUCUCUCACUGCUCAGCCACUGAUGUGUGAUGAAACCUGAAUCUUUUCCUUUCUUUGGUGCCGAAGGAAUUGAAGAGCUCUGUGAUAUGACAAAGGGCAAGUGGGUGACAGAGCCACGAGCAUCGAUCUAUACCAACGUGACAUGCCCGACGCUGCCUGACAUGAAGAACUGUGGGAAGUAUGGGAUGGAUCAGAGCUAUUUGUAUUGGAGAUGGCAACCCGAUAGUUGUGACAUACCGAGGUUUGAUCCUGUGACAUUCCUGAAUCUAGUUAGAGGGAAGAAGAUGGCCUUCAUUGGUAACUCGCUAGCUCGCAAUCAAAUGGAAUCCCUGCUGUGUCUCGUCUCAGGUAAUUCAUCUAUUAGCUUUAUAGGUAGAGAAGCAGAACAAGGUAAGAACAGUUCAUGCAAACCUGUUGCAGGCAGAGACUUCCAGGCAAGUCUUCAGGGAUUCAGGCGACAUGUACGUGACAUGGUACUUCCCCUCGCAUGAGUUCACCCUCAUGGCCAUGUGGACGGAGUACUUUGUGGAAGCAAGGCCAAGAAUCAUAAACGGAACAGCUUCAUCCUCAUUUGAGCUUCACCUCGACAGGGUGACCAUGAACUGGACGGAGAAACUUCCCGGCGUCGACUACGCCAUCCUCUCCGGCGGCAACUGGUUCUUUCGAGGACUCCACUUGUACCGAGAAGGUGAGAUCGUCGGGUGCGUCAACUGCUGGGGCCAAAACCUGACCGAUUUCGGCGUCGCAGCUGCCAUCAGAAGCGUCAUCAGAACAGCCCUCCAGUUCAUAGCCACAUGCAAGGAGUGCGAGGGGCUCGUCACGUUCUUGCGGACCUUCACGCCAUCACACUUCGAGAAUGGCUCCUGGUUCAGCGGAGGACAAUGCAACAGGACACAGCCAUUGGAUGAGAGCCAGAUUAGUCUGAGCGACAUCACCUGGGAGAUAAGGAAGGUUCAGCUGGAGGAGAUCGAAAGAGCGAGACGGCAAGAGGGAGAAGUGAACAUCAAGUUCUACGUGUUGGAUGUCACCAAAGCGAUGAUGCUGAGGGCAGACGCACACCCCGGGAAGCAAUGGACGACGAAGACGACGGGGGCUGUUAACGACUGCUUGCAUUGGUGCUUGCCCGGCCCUGUUGAUCUGUGGAGCGAUCCAUUGCUCGCGACUCUCAAGAAGAAUUCUCCAUCUCAUUAGUUGCAUACUUAUAUGUAUCGUCUUCGCAUGAGCAUUUUAUCAUAUGACUCGUGUGCACUUUUCAUAGUGUUAGUGUGAAGGCAUGGAAAUCUCACCGUCCGUAGCAAUGGACACGAAUCUUAAAGUCGCCACGCGUCCUUUUCUCCUUGAAGCAUGCGAGAGAUCAAUUUCCACUAUACCGAGGUCACGGAUGACGUUGGAGGAACGGGCGAGAUCCGAUCCGACUGCCACUGGUGAAGCAUCGAUUCGGAUUCGGAUUCGGAUUCGGAUUCGAGUUUGAUCCAAUUAGGAUUAGCUCAAAUCGACGAGAGGCAGAACGUAUAUGUAACGGAUCGGGUUAUAGUAUUGAUCGGGUUAUCGGAGGACGAAAGCUUCGUCCCUUUCCCUAGCAGGUAGGUGGUCGAAACGAAAGGCAAGAAAUAUAAGUGCAACGAGCGGCUCCGGUGAACCCUUUAUAGUAAGCUUUCCUGCGAAGAGUGCCUGCAUAGGGUUUCUAUUCGAGAUCGAGAGAGACGGGUACGUCAUCAAUUCCUCACCACCAGAAUGGAGAAGAUGGGCGCCGCCGACGCACAGAUCGAGGAUCUCUUCGUCAGCAAGAAGCCCAUCAAGAACCCUCUCGUCCCCAUCGGUAAAUCGCUCGUUUGUUUCCUUCCCCCGGUAGUUCCUCUUUUGCGAAAAAGGAAUCUAAUUUGACUGCCCACGCGAAUAACUCGAUUGGAAAAAUUAGAUUUUGUCGGUUUUGGUGGGUUUCCUCUCAUUUAUUUUUCUAUUGGGAGAUUAAAGAACCUCAAGGACUGGAUUUGGGGGAAAUUUCUGGUUUUGAUUAUGGAUUCUAUGGAGCGGUGAAGAGUUAUUGGUGCAUCAAUCAAAACGUUAGGGUUCUCCAUCACGAUGGGUUGAAUUGAUAAGUUGAUGUGUCGGCCUAGUCUUGCAUUAGUUUUGGUUUUAUAUUUUCUUUUUGGUUCAAUAUACCAUUAUAUUGCCAAUGUAGUUGUCUUUAAUAAUGGAUAUAGCUGAAUAAGGCCCUCUAAGAAUAUCUUUGGUCUUCGUAUUAGACUGUUUUGUUUAGUAGGCGCAGUUAUAUGUAAUUAAUUACGUUGAGUUGGGUAGUCAGUUUGUGUUGUACUAUGUGCAAUAGGUCUUCUUGGAUAACAUGUUCCUUAUCUUGAAUCACCAUGGUAAGUGAAAUCUGUGUAUCUGGUUGAGCUUUUAAAGAAUGUUUCAUCUGGUUUACGGUUUAUUUGAUGUCGUGCAAUGUUUGCUUCUCAUUAUUUUAUUAUUAAUGCCACUAGAAGGAUAAGUAAAAUUAGUUUUCCUUAUUGUUAUAUUAAAUUUUACAGAAGUAGUUUGUUCUUGAAUAAUAUAGCUCGAAUGAUUUUGAAGUAGUUGUGCAGAAGUUUAGAAAUUUGUCACACCAAGAGUUUACUAGCGCUUGAAAUUGAUUGUUAUCAUCAGAAUCUUUUAGGACAUGCAUUAUACAUGUCUUUGACCUAUAACCAAAGGCGGAAAAAAAAAAGUCCAGAUGGUUAUUUUCAUCUCUUUUCUUAACCACCAAUUUAUUAUGGGCCAGGAUAAACUAGAUCAGGCCACAGCUAGCCAGGUCAUCUAAGAAGUUGGGACUUUGUCCAAUCCGUCCAAUCCUAGUCUCAAAUGCUAUCAGGCUGAUCCAAUCCCUUGAUUCUUGUUUUUUGGGUUUUUUUGUAUAUUCUUUAAAGGUUCAACUGGUUGCAGAUGCUAAUUUGUGCGUAAAUUUAAUCAAGCAGAAAUAAAGUUAGUUUUGGCUGAUUUGCACGAGUGAUUCUUAUUUUUAGCUGAUCUUUGAUUCGGAGGCUUCAAGUUAGGUUGAGGUCUAAAUUCUCUCGAACUGUUUUAAACUCUCUUUCUAUAUAUACACAGAGAAGGAUGAUGGAGCAGGAAAUGAACUAUAAUACACAAGAAAGCAUUUGUGGCCUCGAUAUUUUCCUUUCAAAUUAAUGAAGGAAUACUUGGACAGGAAAUCAGCACCAUCAAAUAUAAUCUGGUGGUUUUUACAAUUUUUUUCCAGUGCAUUUAUUAGAUGACCUGAUCCAUCGUAAGUAUCAUUGGUGCGCAGCCAGCUGGGUAUCAAUAAGAGUGUUUUGUUGACUAUAAUGUGUAGCGAUGUUCUGCAAUCUUAUUUGGAUUGAACUAGAAUAUGUUGUGACUUAAACUGGAUGUUUUAGCAUAUGUGAAUUAAGUGAUACGUUAGAUAGCCCUGUCGGGUUCCUUAGUUUGCUUGAUGAUACACUUUUUCCUGAAUGGUGGUAUGAUGAUACCAGGAGACGAAAAUUAGUAUUGUUUUUCUGAGCUAAGUUUUGGAUCAGAAGUACAUUCCGUUGGUUUCUUAGACCCUAAGUUUGAACCAUUAUUAAGUUGUUUAGUCUGCAUAAAGUAUUUCUUGGUGUAAUUUUGUCAAUGGUUAUGCUUGUGAUGGCUCCACAUGUCAGUUUCUCUGUUGUGGUUGUCCCUACUCCGCUGUAGAAGUUGAGUUGCCUACUCGUUUCUGCCAACAAUGAUACAUAAACUUUAAAUAACAUUAUUGUUAUCAUUUUUUCUUUAAAUUUAAAUUGAUUGAAGAAAUUUUCAGGUGCACUUAUGACUGCCGGUGUGCUUACGGCAGGUCUAGUUAGCUUCAGGCAAGGAAAUUCUCAGCUGGGACAGAAGCUGAUGAGGGCACGAGUUGUAUUUCAAGGUGCAACAGUUGCAUUGAUGGUUGGCAGUGCUUACUACUAUGGUGAGACCUUUAGGGGUUCUAAGAACAAAAAUUAAAUGAUAUAAAGAUGGCUUGCAGUCAUCUUUCAUCUAUGACUGAGUUUUUAUUGGCAUCAAAAUAAUUUAUUACACGUUUUCUUUCACUUGGGAAAAGAGUGGUAGCUGACCAAAUCUUCUGGAAAAUAUAGUGGCAAUGAAAUAAUGCGCCAGUACUUUCGUGUUUGUAUUAUUUACACAAUUGUAUCAGAAUGUAUUAUGUAAUCAUGUGAUGGAUCCAUGUAUGACAUGAACAUUUGGAAACAUAUUGGUUAUAAAUGGACACUUUGAGUCAAAUAUCAGGAAUUACCAUUGCAAGUAGGAUUAAGGAUGGAUCUCAAACAAGGAUAUGAAGAUGGAAGCAGGGUAGUCAUAUUAUUUUUAGUUAAAUAAGGUUUGGCAAGGGAAUUCAACAGAUGAUAACCAUACUGUCAUGGCUGUCAUGCAAGACUCCAUAUUAGGAUGAACUUUGAAGAAAUUUAGAACUUUGUGAUACCUAAUGGUAGUUGACCUCAAAAACCAAACUAUCAGGAAAUCUGCUUCAAUGCAACAGAAAACUGCAGGAAUUUAGAAGUGGGAAGUGAAUUAUUGUGUGUUUAUGGCUUUUUAGACAUGUCUGAAAAGAAAGAUUAGACAAAUGAAGUGGUGACUAAGUAUGACUGACCAAAUUGGAUCAUGCAGCUUCUUCUUCAAUGAAUGCAUCUCUACCACACCUUAGGCAUAGUAAACUUUGCUUUUGUCAAGCUAGGGUUUGAAAGAAGAAGAAGAAGAAGAAGAAGAAGAAGCCCUUAAAAAAAUAUACACGCUACUAUCAAGCAAACACUUUUCUUCGAAAAAUGAGAAAAAUGAAAGCUGAAGACUUUUUUCUGAUAAAAUUGAUCAAAAAUAUAUUUUAUAUUUUUAUAAGUAGUAUUUCAAUGAUAAAAAGGGAAUUCCAAAACAUCUGUUAGUGGAUCAGUAGUCUAUAAAUCCAACCCAUACAAAUCAAGCCAUUUCAAUGAUCAAAGAUGGAGGCAUAUGAAUUCCUUUAUUACCAAAGUAUUUAUGUGAAGAUGGAUUCUGCAAUUUUGCUGCUUCCACAUGCAUGAAAAGUCUCCAGCUUGAGAUCUUCUUCAAGAUGAGAUCCACCGCUAUGGAGAAGGGUUAGUAACAAUGGCACACUGUCCAUUUCCCAGUCCUUAAUUCUUCUGAUAUAUCCAUCUGUUCAAGUGACAGUUUGGCAGGAAGAGUUGCAGCAGAUCAAAGCCACAAGUGGGUGUUCGAGGAGCUCCAAGAUCAUGAGAUCAAUGCUUUGCCCGGGUGGAGCAACCUUGUUGAUGAUUCUGUGUGUGUGCCUCCGCCCACAUGAUCUGUCUCUUCAUGGUGCAAGCUUCUUUUUGAUGUGUCGAAUUCCUCUCUCUCUCUCUCUCUAUACGAUUCUUCCACAAAGCUUUGUGCUAAUUCCUUCUCACCCAUGCAGACUGUAGCUUUUGAUAUUGGUUUCAAUCUUUUGUCACCAUGUUGCAUAGCAAACUUAAUAAUCCAUCAUCGAGCAUAUAGUUCUCACAGGAUGUCCCAAUUUAAUUCUAAUAUCUUAAUAAUUAAAAACAUUAAUCUAAUGUAAUAGUUCAUGAGUAUACCUUUCUGCUCAUGACAGUUGAUUAAGUUGGAACUGAGAGAAAUCGCAGUGAUGCCAUUUCUGAGUUGUGUCAACCUUUUCUAUUCUUCUUCUUCUUCUUCCUGUUUAUCUAUAUAAUGGUCUAUCCUUCAAAGUAAAUGACCCUUGUC
rnacentral:lncRNA from 1 species